CCCAUUUCCAGCUAGAGCUUGCCAAAUAAAUAUGUACCUCUUUGCAUUUGCGGUCAUUAUCAUACAGUACAUAUUUCUUGGAUUAAUGUUGAUAUACUGCCUGAUCUCCUGCUUCUGCUCAAAAAUAUUAUGUUGUUGCAAGCAGACUGAACAAAAUUGAAACAGGAGAAGAUUUGUAUUCUUCAAGACAUUUAAAUUAUUAUUAUUUUUUUGUUGCUGCUAUAAUCCUACCAAUCUUUGUAUUUUACCCAAGAUAAGGAUUGCAAUAGAAUCAAUGUUAAUUUGUUCUGGUAAUUAUUUCAUUAUUAAACUAUUUCAAAAAGCUAAAA